rnacentral:lncRNA from 1 species
UCUGGACUUUAUUCUUAUUAAGGAAAUACCUUGGAAGCACAUAGUGAAAAGAUGGACUAGAGAUGCCAGACACAUCCUACUCCCUCAUCUGACACAAUAUCAGAAGGACAAUGCUCACAAAAAUUCAUUUAGUUAUAGGCAUUUCAAUAUGUCGAUGCAUGACAUGAAGCUUGGCCGUAUGGGGGACACGAGUGUUGAAGCAUAUACACAUCUAAUUUCUAUGAUCAAGAAUUGUGCUGCUGGAAUGACACCAUUUGCUGAAAUAAUAAGAGACAGUCUUGGAUUAGAGGACAUGAUGGCAGAGAAUGGAGAUGUUGUUAACCAGGUUCAGACACAAGUUGGUAUUCAGUUUGCACCAAACAGAGUGGAUAGUGUUGUUGGCAACGACGAAACAACUCGGCUAACGAGUCUGGUAAUAGGCUGUCAGGAUUAUUACCUCUGGCUAAGAGGAAGGACAUGGGAAGGCCUACGACAAGCAGAGAGAAGGCGUUUUAUGAAGGUUUGAGUAAGAGGACAAGAUUUUGCACGAUUUUUCGGCGGCAAGGCCACAAAUGUACAACUUUGCCCUGAUCGCGGGGAUGUCCCAAAGCAGGUGAGGAAACCUGCACGAUGCAAAAGUUGUGGGGUGGACAAAGCAGCAGAACUCAGACUGAAUAAAUUACAAACUUAGAUUGUUUCAGCAUGACAUAUUUCUGUCAUGGCCGGUGACUCAUGCCAGAGCAAGCACAGGGGACUGGAGUGCUAAUGUGACAUUGGGAGCGUCAGUGUGUGUGGGCACAGCCGGUCCUUGUGCGUGUGAGUGUCGGGCGCUGGUGUGGUGUACGUGAGGCCCUGGUUAGGAGUCGUGUGUGGUUUGUGGGUGUAUAAACACCCAGUCUUGUAAUGUGUUUUGGUGGAAAAAAAGAAAAUAAGUAGCAAAAGUCUGAAUUCCCCUGUCUCCUUCUCUGUUCCCAGUCCCCUUGUCUUCUCCUCUUGAGGCCUUGUUCGGUUGCGGGUGAAUCCGAGUGGAUUGAAGGGGUUUGAGGGGGAUUUAAACCUUUUCUAAGUCAAAAUAUGAACCAAUUCCUGCCAAUCCCCUCCAAUUCUCUUGGGGAGAGGAUUAACCGAACAAAGCCUGAAGCAUAUCAGGUCGGCUGUACAAUUUCUUCCUAGUUUUAGCUGUGUUGUAUCUCAAUGGCCAGUAAAUUCGUGGCAGCUAAAACAACAAUGAGGCAUAUCGUGUCAGCCGAGCGGCUAGGUUAAUUCACCCAGCGGUAAGCCUUCCUGCCUUGUGGAUCAGCACGUAUAUUGCGUGCCUGCUGAAAUGCACGGUUCAGG